rnacentral:lncRNA from 1 species
GGGGGCCGGUUAAACCUUCCAUAUUUCUGUUUUAUUAUUUUUAACUUUUUAAUUAUGUUUCUUAUAUGUUUUAGUCCACAUUUGUAUCCUUUUUUAAUUAUAUUUUCCAAAAAAAUUUGAAAAUAUUUUAUGAAUGAACAGGAAAGGCGCUAAAGAUGUUUUACAAAAAAAAAUGUGAAAAACUUGCAUAAAAACAGAUUUUUU